GAUGUUAAAAGUGUUCUGGUUUGGCAAUGUAAAACAUUUAAAAUCUGUUUUAAAGUCCAUUGGAGGAAGAAAGACCAGUCUCUCCUGCACCCAGCAAUGUUUCCAUGAGAAGUGACUAGUCCAAGAAUGAACCAACCAACUUCAAUGAAGGAGAACUGGGUCCAUUGGAGGAAGAAAGACCAGUCUCUCCUGCACCCAGCAAUGUUUCCAUGAGAAGUGACCGGUCCAAGAAUGAACCAACCAACUUCAAUGAAGGAGAACUGCGCCCUCCCCAGUCACAGAGAACAGUCUCAACUUCCGUGGAACCUGACCAGUUAGAAGAUGGCGGUGACGCGAGCAAAGACAAAGACGUCAGAGAUGAACUCACAGCAGCCUUGAAGAAUAGAAUCCUCAGUCACUAUGAAGAUAAACUUAGAAAACAUGAAACUGACACAGAACUCUAUGGGACAGAAGAAAAAAACAACAAAGCACAAACCUAUGAUGCAAUAUUUCAGAAGUCAAAGAAAGAAGAAGUGCGAACAGUGUUAAUGAAAGGAAUUGCUGCUGUUGGUAAAACAUUUCAAACAAGGAGGUUCAUGGUGGACUGGGCAAAAGGAAAAACCAACAACAACAUAGACUUGAUAGUGCCAUUUCAUUUCAGCGAGCUCCAUACAAGAAGAGACAAAGUUCAAAGCUUGAAAGAUCUUCUUAAUUCUGUCGAUGACAAACACAGAAGCUUUUUCAUGUAUAAUGAGUGUAAAGUAGUGUUUGUCCUUGAUGGCUUAGAAGAAUGUGAACUUCCUCUGGAUUUUGAAAACAACAAAGAACUGACUGACAUGGAAGAGUCAGCCUCAAUGGAUGUGCUGUUAACAAGCCUCAUCAAGGGGAAACUGCUUCCCUCUGCUCAUCUCUGGAUCAUCUCUCAACCUUCAGGAGUUGAUAAGAUUCCUCCUGAAUAUAUUCAGAAAGUGACUGAAUGUCGAGAAACCUCAAAGCGACGGCAGAAGCUGAUAUCAAGACUGAAAGAAAUAUUACGUAAAGAAAACACUCAAGAUGAAGAAAUAAAUCAUCCAAACCAGAAAAACACAGAGCACAUCAUCAGAGAAGACAGAAGAAGUGAGGUUGACGAUGAAGCAAGAAAUGGACGAACUGUGAAACCAGUGAAUCAAGUAUCUGACAUCUUCAAAGCUGCAAAGGGACAAACAAUGAGAACUGUGCUGACUGUUGGAGAACCUGAUAUUGGGAAAACCUUCCAUGUGCAGAAAUUUUAAAAAAAGUGGGCUAAAAAUGAGAAAAAGUCUCUUUUCACACUGGUUCUGGAUUCAGCAAAAGCUGAUGAAGUUAUAUUUCCACUUAACUGCUCCAAGCUUAAUUUGAUAAAAGAGGAAAAAUUCAGUUUGCUUGGACUUCUUAAUCAUUUCUUCAAGGAAACAAAUUAAUUUGUAAUCUCGAACUUUGAGCAGUUCAAAGUUUUAUUUGUCUUGGAUGGACUGGAUGCUUAUACACCUCCUCUUGACUUUAAAGACAACACCACCUUAACUGAUGUCAGAGAGCGAGCUUCAGUGGGUGUGCUGCUGACAAACCUCAUCCGAGGAACCCUGUUUCCAUCUGCCCGACUCUGGAUCACAUCUCGACCAUCAGCUGCCAAUCAGUUGCCUGAUGACUGUGUCGACAGGACAACAUAAAUACGAUGUAAACCUGAUGUUGUAAGUCAAAAGAAACUCAAAUCUCAGCUGAAGGAGCAAUUUACCCUUGUGACUGAGGGGAUCGACAGGCAGAAAACCUCUGCCCUUCUCAAGGAGAUUUUCACAGAUCUCUACAUCAUAGAGGGUGAGAGGGGAGAAGUCAAUGUUCAGCAUGAAACCAGACACGUUCAAGGUGCAAAGUUCAAACCAGUGAC